rnacentral:rRNA from 1 species
GAUGAACGCUGGCGGCGUGCCUAAUACAUGCAAGUCGAGCGAAUGAAGAGGAGCUUGCUCCUCUGAUUUAGCGGCGGACGGGUGAGUAACACGUGGGUAAUCUGCCUGUAAGACGGGGAUAACUCCGGGAAACCGGGGCUAACACCGGAUAAUAAGAAGCAACGCAUGUUUCUUUUUUGAAAGUCGGUUUCGGCUGACACUUACAGAUGAGCCCGCGGCGCAUUAGCUAGUUGGUGAGGUAACGGCUCACCAAGGCGACGAUGCGUAGCCGACCUGAGAGGGUGAGCGGCCACACUGGGACUGAGACACGGCCCAGACUCCUACGGGAGGCAGCAGUAGGGAAUCUUCGGCAAUGGGCGAAAGCCUGACCGAGCAACGCCGCGUGAGCGAUGAAGGCCUUCGGGUCGUAAAGCUCUGUUGUUAGAGAAGAACAAGUACGAGAGUAACUGCUCGUACCUUGACGGUACCUAACCAGAAAGCCACGGCUAACUACGUGCCAGCCGCCGCGGUAA